rnacentral:ncRNA from 1 species
AACCGCCGUGUACCGAACGGUACGCACGGUGGUGUGAGAGGUCGGAAAUUCUCAGCAGAGAGAAUUUCCUCCUACUCGAU